rnacentral:tRNA from 1 species
GCCAGGAUAGCUCAGCGGUAGAGCACGUAAACACCUUGGCCGGUUUUCUCCGGCGACGGCAGUGAUGGCCAGGGUUACUUCCAUUUGAGGACGUGGUCGCGGGUUCGAAUCCCGCUCCUGGUA